GCCUGGGUGGCUCAGUCGGUUAAGCGUCUGACUUCGGCUCAGGUCAUGAUCUCACGGUUUGUGAGUUCAAGCCCCGCAUCGGGCU
rnacentral:tRNA from 1 species